GAUGAACGCUGGCGGCGUGCCUAAUACAUGCAAGUCGAGCGAACAGACGAGGAGCUUGCUCCUCUGACGUUAGCGGCGGACGGGUGAGGAACACGUGGAUAACCUACCUAUAAGACUGGGAUAACUUCGGGAAACCGGAGCUAAUACCGGAUAAUAUAUUGAACCGCAUGGUUCAAUAGUGAAAGACGGUUUUGCUGUCACUUAUAGAUGGAUCAGCGCCGCAUUAGCUAGUUGGUAAGGUAACGGCUUACCAAGGCAACGAUGCGUAGCCGACCUGAGAGGGUGAUCGCCCACCCUGUCUCUGAGACACGUCCCAGACUCCUGCGGGAGGCAGCAGCAGGGAAUCUUCCGCAAUGGGCGAAAGCUUGACGGAGCAACGCCGCGUGAGUGAUGAAGGUCUUCGGAUCGUAAAACUCUGUUAGUCGGGAAGAACAAAUGUGUAAGUAACUAUGCACGUCUUGACGGUACCUAAUCAGAAAGCCACGGCUAACUACGUG
rnacentral:rRNA from 1 species